UACAGAGGUGGCAAGCGUUGUUCGGAAUUACUGGGCGUAAAGGGCGCGUAGGCGGCCACCGCAAGUCAGUUGUGAAAUCUCUGGGCUUAACCCAGAAAGGUCAACUGAUACUGCGGGGCUAGAGUGCAGAAGGGGCAACUGGAAUUCUCGGUGUAGCGGUGAAAUGCGUAGAUAUCGAGAGGAACACCUGCGGCGAAGGCGGGUUGCUGGGCUGACACUGACGCUGAGGCGCGAAAGCGUGGGGAGCGAACAGG
rnacentral:rRNA from 1 species